rnacentral:rRNA from 1 species
AAACGUAGGAGGCAAGCGUUAUCCGAAUUUACUGGGCGUAAAGCGCGUGCAGGCGGUUCGGUAAGUUGGAUGUGAAAUCUCCUGGCUCAACUGGGAGAGGACGUUCAAUACUGUCGGACUCGAGGACGGUAGAGGGAGGUGGAAUUCCCGGUGUAGUGGUGAAAUGCGUAGAUAUAUGGAGGAACACCAGUGGCGAAGGCGACUCUCUGGUCUGUAACUGACGCUGAGGCUCGAAAGCGUGGGGAGC